rnacentral:rRNA from 1 species
UGAGGAAUAUUGCACAAUGGGGGGAACCCUGAUGCAGCAACGCCGCGUGAGCGAUGAAGGCCUUCGGGUCGUAAAGCUCUUUUCUGUGGGAUGAGACAAGGACAGUACCACAGGAAUAAGUCUCGGCUAACUACGUGCCAGCAGCCGCGGUAAAACGUAGGAGGCGAGCGUUAUCCGGAUUCACUGGGCGUAAAGGGCAAGUAGGCGGUAGGCAAAGUUGGGCGUGACAAAUCUCGGCUUAACUGAGAGGGGUCGUUCAAAACUAGUCUACUGGAGGGCAGGAGGGGAAGGCGGAAUUCCGAGUGUAGCGGUGGAAUGCUCAGAUAUUCGGAAGAACACCAGUGGCGAAGGCGGCCUUCUGGCCUGCACCUGACGCUGAGAGGCGAAAGCUAGGGGAGCGAACGG